UGGGGAAUUUUGGACAAUGGGGGAAACCCUGAUCCAGCCAUCCCGCGUGUGCGAUGAAGGCCUUCGGGUUGUAAAGCACUUUUGGCAGGAAAGAAACGUCAUGGGUUAAUACCCCGUGAAACUGACGGUACCUGCAGAAUAAGCACCGGCUAACUACGUGCCAGCAGCCGCGGUAAUACGUAGGGUGCAAGCGUUAAUCGGAAUUACUGGGCGUAAAGCGUGCGCAGGCGGUUCGGAAAGAAAGAUGUGAAAUCCCAGAGCUCAACUUUGGAACUGCAUUUUUAACUACCGCGCUAGGGUGUGUCAGAGGGAGGUGGAAUUCCGCGUGUAGCAGUGAAAUGCGUAGAUAUGCGGUGGAACACCGAUGGCGAAGGCAGCCUCCUGGGAUAACACUGACGCUCAUGCACGAAAGCGUGGGGAGCAAACAGG
rnacentral:rRNA from 1 species